CCAAAUAAUGUUAAUUUUUGCUAAACCAGGCUAAAUCAUGUCGAACAGUGCCACAUUUAAUCAAACAUUCUACGUUGUGCUAUAUUAGUUGCGUUUCGGGCAUUUUGCAUAUAUGUGCACUGUUCUAAACACAAUCUAAACACAAUCAUAAAAUUUAUUUUUUUCAGAAAGCCAGACGAGUUAUAAAGAUUAAAAAGUACAUUUUAAUUUUUCAGAAGAGUACGACAUUACAAAAUCAAUACAUUAUAAAAUAUAACCUACAAUAUAAUCUGUCUAAUUCAAGUAAUUAAUAUGUAGGUUCACUUAACCAAAAAAUUAAUUUGUACGUUAUAUAAUUUGAUGGCUUUAUUUUGUGUUUUUUUUUUUUUUACAAAAAGCUUAAAAGAUACAUUUCAAUUUUUGUAAUUUGAUUGAACUUCUAAAACAUUAGCUAAAAGAAAAUUUGUGUACAAAAUAAAACUUAAAAAAUUCGCAAUUAAUUUUAUAGAAAAUAAAAUAAAACUAACAACGAUAUAGAAUUAUGAUUUAGUAAACUUAUUUCGUAAGUAAGCCAAAAUUUAUUUGAUUAAACUUUAUUAUGCUGUAAUAACCUAUUUUACAUUUGUACAAAUUAAAAUCAAUAUACUAUUAUAUUUUAAUACAUACACAUUAUUUUAAAUACUUACGUAUUGUUUUGAAAUAGCGAUGUUUUCGUGAAAAUAUAAUAAUUUAUAUUAUAUUUAUAAUAUUUAUACUAUUUAUAGUAGUUAAAACUUUCAAGUCCAAUAUAAGGAAUACAAUCAACGUGUAUUAGAUCAAUGGCUAUAUUCGCACGAACGUUAUCCUCAAAUCAUUCUAUAUUGUGUUUGAAUUAGUGUACAUACACGAAAACCCUUAUUACAUGAAUCGUCUAUACCAAUGUAUACAAACAUACGCUUAUAUUCAGUCGAGUUUUGGAACUUCGUUAAUCAAGAAUAUUGGUGAUUAGCAUAUACUAUUGAAAAAUGUCAAAAUUUAUCAAUCGAGAAAUUGACAAAUUACGUGGAGUAUUAAGAGGAAAAAUUGUGAAGCACAAAAAAAUAUUACGAGACAAAAAUCAAAAUUGAAACAAUCAAUUUCUCAAUGUACAGGAAUUGACUUUUUAGUUCAAAAUAUUAAUGAUUUGCAUGUUGGAAUACGAUCAUAAAUUUGGCAUUUUCAAAAUUGUAUGUACUGAUAAUUUAUAAAGUUUCUAUUAUUUCACAAGGUAUUAAUAAAGCAUAUUUUAGAGGUAAAGAUGAACUGGAUGAAUAUCUAGAAAAAUCAAAUGAAAAUAUAUAAAAAUAUGUAAUUACAUAAAAUUAAAUGUAUGUAUUAAAUAAAUUAAAAUAAGCAAA